rnacentral:rRNA from 1 species
GAUGAACGCUGGCAGCGUGCCUAAUACAUGCAAGUCGAACGAGGUCUUCGGACCUAGUGGCGAACGGGUGAGUAACACGUUGGUACCUACCCCGAAGUGGGGAAUAACUGCCCGAAAGGGUGGCUAAUACCGCAUAAUACCGCAAGGUUAAAGCAGUAAUGCGCUUCGGGAGGGGCCUGCGUCCCAUUAGCUAGUUGGUAGGGUAAUGGCCUACCAAGGCGACGAUGGGUAGCUGGAUCGAGAGGUUGACCAGCCACACUGGGACUGAGAUACGGCCCAGACUCCUACGGGAGGCAGCAGUAAGGAAUCUUCCACAAUGGACGAAAGUCUGAUGGAGCAACGCCGCGUGCAGGAUGACGGCCUUCGGGUUGUAAACUGCUUUUAUACGGGAAGAUUAUGACGGUACCGUAUGAAUAAGGACCGGCUAACUACGUGCCAGCAGCCGCAGUAA